AUACCACUUGGAAACAGGUGCUAAUACCGGAUAAGAAAGCGGAUCGCAUGAUCAGCUUUUAAAAGGCGGCGUAAGCUGUCGCUAUGGGAUGGCCCCGCGGUGCAUUAGCUAGUUGGUAAGGUAAAGGCUUACCAAGGCGAUGAUGCAUAGCCGAGUUGAGAGACUGAUCGGCCACAUUGGGACUGAGACACGGCCAAACUCCUACGGGAGGCAGCAGGC
rnacentral:rRNA from 1 species